rnacentral:rRNA from 1 species
AUGGCGCCGGGCUCCCAGAAGAAGAACACCAAGGGCGUGAAGGAGGUCGACCCGACGGCCAAGCUCACCGACGACCUCCUCGUGGACAUCAUCUCGCGCGUGCCCUACAAGUCAACAUGCUGCUGCAAGUGCGUCUCCAGGCGUUGGCGGAACCUCAUCUCCCACCGCGACCACCGAAAGAAGAUGCCGCAGUCCGUCGUCGGCUUCUUCUACCAAGGUUACAAUGCAUUCCGCUCCCCCAGGAAGGCUCGUUAUUUUACCAAUCUGCUGUCACGGCAACGCUAUCCUCUCGUAGAUCCUUCGCUGUCUUUGCUGCCCACUUGCGACAGCCUUGACAUCUUGGACGCCUGCAAUGGCCUCCUGCUCUGCCGCUGCUGGAAGGCUGCUGAUCCCCUGGAAUUGGAUUAUGUUGUUUGCAAUCCCACCACUGAGAAAUGGGUGUCCUUCCCUGCCACCGACUGGUCCAGCAAGGUGAGCGUCGCUCGCCUCGGAUUUGACCCGGCCGUUACUUCCCACUUCCAUGUAUUCGAGUUCAUAGAUGAGGAGGCCUGGGGUAUAGCCGAGGACGAGCAAAGCGAGUGCUAUGGACGCAUCCAAACACUAGCAAUUUACUCGUCCAAAGCUGGAGCGUGGAAAUAUCAAACAGUUGAGCAUGGACCAUUUGCGAUACCCAAGAAUUCACCCGGCUCAUUUUUAAACGGGAUCCUUAAUUUGGCUGCCUAUAAUAAUUUAAUUGUAGCUGUUGAUGUGGAAGGAGAUAAUUGGUCACUUGUUCAUAUUCCUAAGCCACCGUACUAUGCGGAUGAUAUCAAUGGCAUAUUUCCAUCACAGGGACAGUUGUAUUUUGCAAAUAGUCCUGCUGAUUCUGAUGGUUCUGAAUUAUCAAUCUGGGUUCUUGACGACUUGGUUACAGGAAAAUGGACUUUGAAGCACAAUGUGAGCCACUUGCAGUUGUUUGGAACAAAGUAUUCAUCGUAUGCGAAUGAUUAUAGUGUUAUUUCAAUGCAUCCAGAACACAGUUUGAUUUUUAUAGUCGGUGGACAUGACAAGACACUAAUGUCAUAUGACAUGGAUUCUAGACAGCUGCGUUUUAUAUGUCAACUUGGCUCUGAGUGUAAAGCUGAAUUGCCUGCCUGUGGCGACAAGACUCUUUUUCAUCCACAUGUUCCCUUGUUCUCACAAUCAUUGGCGGAUGGGUAG